AGAGUUUGAUCAUGGCUCAGAAUGAACGCUGGCGGCGUGCUUAACACAUGCAAGUCGUGCGCGAAGGUGGCUUCGGCCACCGGAGAGCGGCGAACGGGUGAGUAACACGUGGGUGAUCUGCCUGGAAGCGGGGGAUAACCUGGGGAAACUCGGGCUAACACCGCAUACGUUGUUUGGGUUGCGGCCUAGACAAGAAAACCGGCCUCUGCUUGCAAGCUGGUGCUUCCAGAGGAGCCCGCGGCUGAUUAGCUAGUUGGUGAGGUAAUGGCUCACCAAGGCGACGAUCAGUAGCCGGCCUGAGAGGGUGAUCGGCCACACUGGGACUGAGACACGGCCCAGACUCCUACGGGAGGCAGCAGUGGGGAAUAUUGGACAAUGGGCGCAAGCCUGAUCCAGCAACGCCGCGUGGAGGACGAAGGUCUUCGGAUCGUAAACUCCUGUCAGACGGGACGAAGGUAACGGGGUAAAUAAUCCUGUUGCUUGACGGUACCGUCAGAGGAAGCCCCGGCUAACUCCGUGCCAGCAGCCGCGGUAAUACGGAGGGGGCGAGCGUUAUUCGGAAUUAUUGGGCGUAAAGGGCGCGUAGGCGGCUUGGCAAGUCAAAGGUGAAAUCCCUCGGCUCAACUGAGGAACUGCCUUUGAAACUGCUUGGCUUGAGGCCGGGAGGGGGUAGCGGAAUUCCCAGUGUAGCGGUGAAAUGCGUAGAUAUUGGGAGGAACACCAGUGGCGAAGGCGGCUACCUGGACCGGUUCUGACGCUGAUGCGCGAAAGCGUGGGUAGCAAACAGGAUUAGAUACCCUGGUAGUCCACGCUGUAAACGAUGGGUGCUCGGUGUCGCGGGUAUCGACCCCUGCGGUGCCUUAGCCAACGCGUUAAGCACCCCGCCUGGGGAGUACGGUCGCAAGGCUGAAACUCAAAUGAAUUGACGG
rnacentral:rRNA from 1 species